ACGAACGCUGGCGGCGUGCUUAACACAUGCAAGUCGCACGGAAAGGCCCUGCUUUUGUGGGGUGCUCGAGUGGCGAACGGGUGAGUAACACGUGAGUAACCUGCCCUUGACUUUGGGAUAACUUCAGGAAACUGGGGCUAAUACCGGAUAGGAGCUCCUGCUGCAUGGUGGGGGUUGGAAAGUUUCGGCGGUUGGGGAUGGACUCGCGGCUUAUCAGCUUGUUGGGGGGGUAGUGGCUUACCAAGGCUUUUACGGGUAGCCGGCCUGAGAGGGUGACCGGGCACAUUGGGACUGGGAGACGGCCCAGACUCCUACGGGAGGCAGCAGUGGGGAUUAUUGCACAAUGGGCGGAAGCCUGAUGCAGCAACGCCGCGUGCUGGAUGACGGCCUGCGGGUUGUAAACCGCUUUCGCCUGUGACGAAGCGUGAGUGACGGUAAUGGGUAAAGAAGCACCGGCUAACUACGUG
rnacentral:rRNA from 1 species